rnacentral:rRNA from 1 species
UACGUAGGGUGCAAGCGUUAUUCGGAAUUACUGGGCGUAAAGCGUGCGCAGGCGGUUGUGCAAGACAGAUGUGAAAUCCCCGGGCUCAACCUGGGAACUGCAUUUGUGACUGCACGGCUAGAGUGUGUCAGAGGGGGGUAGAAUUCCACGUGUAGCAGUGAAAUGUGUAGAUAUGUGGAGGAAUACCGAUGGCGAAGGCAGCCCCCUGGGAUAACACUGACGCUCAUGCACGAAAGCGUGGGGAGCAAACAGG